UACGGAGGGAGCUAGCGUUGUUCGGAAUUACUGGGCGCAAAGCGCACGUAGGCGGCUUUGUAAGUUAGAGGUGAUAGCCUGGAGCUCAACUCCAGAAUUGCCUUUAAGACUGCAUCGCUUGAAUCCAGGAGAGGUGAGUGGAAUUCCGAGUGUAGAGGUGAAAUUCGUAGAUAUUCGGAAGAACACCAGUGGCGAAG
rnacentral:rRNA from 1 species